rnacentral:rRNA from 1 species
UACGUAGGGUGCGAGCGUUGUCCGGAAUUAUUGGGCGUAAAGAGCUUGUAGGCGGUUUGUCGCGUCUGCUGUGAAAAUCCGAGGCUCAACCUCGAACUUGCGGUGGGUACGGGCAGACUAGAGUGUGGUAGGGGGAGACUGGAAUUCCUGGUGUAGCGGUGAAAUGCGCAGAUAUCAGGAGGAACACCGAUGGCGAAGGCAGGUCUCUGGGCCACUACUGACGCUGAGAAGCGAAAGCAUGGGGAGCGAACAGG